rnacentral:rRNA from 1 species
GAUGAACGCUAGCGGCAGGCCUAAUACAUGCAAGUCGAACGGUAGAUUACUUUCGGGUAAUUGAGAGUGGCGAACGGGUGCGUAACGCGUAUGCAACCUACCCUAUACAGGGGGAUAGCCCGGAGAAAUCUGGAUUAAUACCCCAUGGUACCAAGUUGAGGCAUUUUGAUUUGGUUAAAGAUUCAUCGGUAUAGGGUGGGCAUGCGUCUGAUUAGCUAGUUGGCGGUGGUAACGGACCACCAAGGCUACGAUCAGUAGGGGUUCUGAGAGGAAGGUCCCCCACACUGGCACUGAGAUACGGGCCAG